CAUCUUGGACAUCAAGAGUAUUAAAAAAAAAAGAAGAAACAGGAAGUUUCAAAGCAAGGUUGGUUGCAUGAGCAAAGGCAUUUGCUAUCUGGCAACCGAGCAAGGCAGGAAGUGGUCACUGAUCAGUGGGAGUGACACGCUAACAGUGAAUCAGCUCGCUGGAGAAGAAGAGAAGCAACACAUGUCAAACGAACCCUUGAGUAGCACUGCGGAUUACUACGAUAGGCUGUGAUGUUUGUACAAGUUCCCUGGAGGUUAUACUCAGCAGACAUUCUAGGUGAGGUCUGGAAUAUCGAAGACUGAGAGGCGGCGUCCGCUCAUAAAAGCUAUGACUCGGGUUAAAUGGACCAGGCCUGCAAGAGAGCGUCUCCACUGGGGCAAGGAGGUCCUAACGUUCCAGAUGAUACACGCGCCUCCUCAAAACUCAGCAGACACGCGACUGAGACGGUUGAAUGGACCAGAACCAGCGUUUUGGACCCACACAUCAGUGAGUCACAUAUAUUUGAACAUUCUUUCAAAUCAAACAUGGACGAUGACUUGUGGCCACUGCAGAACAUUUCUACACACACACACAUCAUCCAACCAAUGCACGGGUGGUCUGCAGCAAGAGAUUCCUGUUCGAGUCCCGUCUAUCUAAACACACUUUAAAGUCACACAACCGUCAACAUAUUUUGUUUGUGCUUCACACAUAUCACAAUGACGAUGCAAACAGGAAGUGCCGAUCCACCCGAUCAGGCGCCACUUGAAAGUAAACAAUGUUACUGAGGCUGUCAGACAUUUAAAAUAUUUGAUCGCAAAUAAUUGCAGUUUGUUCAUAGUUAACUCAAAAUUAAUCUCGAUUAAUCGCAGAUAAAUGUUUUUUUGUUAUUAAUAAGUGUACCCUAGACAGAUAAAUAAAUGAUAAAUUGGUUAUACUUGUAUAGCGCUUUUCUACCUUCAAGGUACUCAAAGCGCUUAGACAGUAUUUCCACAUUCACCCAUUCACACACACAUUCACACACUGAUGGCGGGAGCUGCCAUGCAAGGCGCUAACCAGCAGCCAUCAGGAGCAAGGGUGAAGUGUCUUGCCCAAGGACACAACGGACGUGACUAGGAUGGUAGAAGGUGGGGAUUGAACCCCAGUAACCAGCAACCCUCCGAUUGCUGGCACGGCCACUCUACCAACUUCGCCACACCGCCCAUAAUGUUCACGUUUUUAGUACCAUGACUGGACAAUUUGCUUCAAUUAUUAUUAUUUUUGUUUUUAAAUAUGCUUAAUGGAUCAAUAAAGUUUGUCUAAGUCUUUUUGAACAGCUCAACACAAAAAGGACAAACAGACUUUUAAUGACCAUAAAAAAAAAUUACCUGCAGUGCGUUGGUGUCUUGCCAGAUUUUGUAUUUUGUAGGAAUACAGAAUUUUUAUUUCUGCUUUAGGAGCACUUGCAUUUAUUGGAGGACCUACACCAUGUUUAGAUACCAGUUUCAUAACACAAAAUGUGGAUAGUUACGAUCAUGGUUUAAUUGU